rnacentral:lncRNA from 1 species
AAUUUCCUUCCCUGAAAUAGAGAUGGAAAACACCUUCCCUAUAGCCCAGUUAACAGACUGCUUCUCUCGUGUAGUGCAAAUCUUGUCUGAAUUUAAUCCCCAAAACCCUUCCCCUGCAAUCCCAGCUUCUCAUGUUCCUUCUCCUACAGAAAACCAAAUUCCAAUGCAAGGGAGAUCUUGUCCUCCUAGAGAAACCUGUCCUUGUCAAACUGACCCACAGGUGCAAAAUUCAACUAGAGGCCUGUUUCCUCUAAGAGAAGUACCUGAAAUAGGACGGAAUGGGGAUGUGGUGACUUUAAGACAUAGGAUACCAUUUACUCCCCAAGAAAUAAAUGAAUUUACACGAAAUAUCCCCACAUAUGAACAAGAUCCUUUUCUAGUAACAAAAAAGAUGGGAGACAUAUUUUUUCAGUAUAAUCCGUCUUACAAGGACGUUGAGAGCUUACUACAGGCUUUUUUACGUGAACGUGAAAAAAAUAAAAUAAUUGCUCAUGUCAACAAAACCCGGGGGCGUAAUGCAGCACAUUGGCCAUCUCAGGAUCCCAAAUGGGACUAUAACAAUCCUGAGGAUUAUCUACAACUAUACCGUUGUAGAGAGGCCAUCCUCACGGCAAUGAAGGAAUGUGCAGACAGUACAGAUAAGUGGAUGGAACUGGAAAAAAUUAAGCAAAAGGACGAAGAAACACCCUCCAGAUUUAUGGACAGAAUUAUCGAGUUUGGGGACAGAUACUUAGAUUGGGACUUAACUAAAGAGAGUAGUUUAAGACAAGUUAGAAGAAUCUUUGUAAACAAUUCUUACAAGGCAAUUAAAAAUUAUUUUAAAACACAAUGCCCAAGAUGGUCAGAUAUGGACCUUGAAGAAUUGCGAAAAACAGCUAUAUAUGUUUUAAAGGGAAACGAAGAAAAGGAGGAAGAAAAUAAUGAUGACAUGGAGGAAAUGAAGAAAAAAAAUAAGAUAUUUAAUAGAUAGGAUAACUAAAUUAGAAAGUGGGCAUGAUAAUGAACCAACGACAAUUGCCCCUCUCCAGAAAUCCAAUUAUCAAUCCAUUACUUGCCACUUCUGUGGGAAGAAGGGCCACAAUAUGAUGGAUUGUAGAACCUUUCUUAAGAUGUUUGGAAGGAAUACACAGUUUAAUAAUAGUUUUAGAAAUAAUAAC